rnacentral:rRNA from 1 species
CACGUAGGGGGCAAGCGUUGUCCGGAUUUAUUGGGCGUAAAGAGCUCGUAGGCGGCUUAGUAAGUCGGGUGUGAAACCUCCAGGCUCAACCUGGAGACGCCACCCGAUACUGCUGUGGCUAGAGUCCGGUAGGGGAGCGUGGAAUUCCUGGUGUAGCGGUGAAAUGCGCAGAUAUCAGGAGGAACACCAGUGGCGAAGGCGGCUCACUGGCCCGAUACUGACGCUGAGGCACGAAAGCGUGGGGAGCAAACAGG